rnacentral:rRNA from 1 species
ACAGAGACUGCAAGCGUUAUUCGGAUUCACUGGGCGUAAAGGGUGCGCAGGCGGUUAUGUGUGUUGGAUGUGAAAGCCCGAGGCUCAACCUCGGAAUUGCGUCCAAAACUACAUGACUAGAGUACCGGAGAGGAUAGCGGAAUUCACGGUGUAGCAGUGAAAUGCGUAGAUAUCGUGAAGAACACCAGCGGCGAAGGCGGCUAUCUGGAAGGUAACUGACGCUCAGGCACGAAAGCGUGGGGAGCAAAAGGGAUUAGAUACCCCUGUAGUCCACGCCCUAAACGGUGCACACUAGGUGUUAGCGGAUUCGACCCCGUUAGCGCCCAAGCUAACGCGUUAAGUGUGCCGCCUGAGGACUACGGCCGCAAGGCUA